rnacentral:rRNA from 1 species
GUGGGGAAUUUUGGACAAUGGGCGCAAGCCUGAUCCAGCAAUGCCGCGUGUGUGAAGAAGGCCUUCGGGUUGUAAACUGCUUUUGUACGGAACGAAACGGUCCGGGUUAAUACCCUGGGCUAAUGACGGUACCGUAAGAAUAAGCACCGGCUAACUACGUGCCAGCAGCCGCGGUAAUACGUAGGGUGCAAGCGUUAAUCGGAAUUACUGGGCGUAAAGCGUGCGCAGGCGGUUUUGUAAGACAGGCGUGAAAUCCCCGGGCUCAACCUGGGAAUUGCGCUUGUGACUGCAAGGCUGGAGUGCGGCAGAGGGGGAUGGAAUUCCGCGUGUAGCAGUGAAAUGCGUAGAUAUGCGGAGGAACACCGAUGGCGAAGGCAAUCCCCUGGGCCUGCACUGACGCUCAUGCACGAAAGCGUGGGGAGCAAACAGGAUUAGAUACCCCAGUAGUCC